rnacentral:rRNA from 1 species
CACGUAGGCACCAAGCGUUAUCCGGAUUUAUUGGGCGUAAAGAGCUCGUAGGCGGUUUGUCGCGUCUGCUGUGAAAACUCGAGGCUCAACCUCGGGCUUGCAGUGGGUACGGGCAGACUAGAGUGCGGUAGGGGUGACUGGAAUUCCUGGUGUAGCGGUGGAAUGCGCAGAUAUCAGGAGGAACACCGAUGGCGAAGGCAGGUCACUGGGCCGCAACUGACGCUGAGGAGCGAAAGCAUGGGGAGCGAACAGG